rnacentral:rRNA from 1 species
GACGAACGCUGGCGGUGUGCUUAACACAUGCAAGUCGAACGGUAAGGCCCUUUCGGGGGUACACGAGUGGCGAACGGGUGCGUAACACGUGAGUAACCUGCCCUCAUCUCUGGGAUAACAGUCGGAAACGGUUGCUAAUACUGGUUAUGAGCUUUCAAGGCAUCUUGUGGGUUGGAAAGAUUUUUUUUGGUUGGGGAUGGACUCGCGGCCUAUCAGCUUGUUGGUGAGGUAGUGGCUCACCAAGGCUUCGACGGGGAGCCGGCCUGAGUGGGCGACCGGCCACAUUGGGACUGAAAGACAGGCAAAACUCCGGAGGGAGGGAGAAGGGGGGAAAAUUGCACAAAGGAAGGAAGUCUGAUGCAACAACGCCGCGUGCGGGAUAACGGCCUUCGGGUUGUAAAAAGAUUUCAAUUGUGACGAAGCUUUUUUGUGACGGUAGCAGUAGAAGAAGCACCGGCUAACUACGU